rnacentral:rRNA from 1 species
UACGGGGGGGGCAAGCGUUGUUCGGAAUUACUGGGCGUAAAGGGCUCGUAGGUGGCCAACUAAGUCGGACGUGAAAUCCCUCAGCUUAACUGGGGAACUGCGUCCGAUACUGGAUGGCUUGAGUUUGGGAGAGGGAUGCGGAAUUCCAGGUGUAGCGGUGAAAUGCGUAGAUAUCGGGAGGAACACCGGUGGCGAAGGCGGCGACCUGGGUAGAUACUGACGCUGAGGCGCGAAAGCGUGGGGAGCAAACAGG